rnacentral:rRNA from 1 species
GGCGGACGGGUGAGUAACGCAUAGGAAUCUGCCCAAUAGUGGGGGACAACCUGGGGAAACUCAGGCUAAUACCGCAUACGCCCUACGGGGGAAAGGCUUCGGCCGCUAAUGGAUGAGCCUAUGUCUGAUUAGCUUGUUGGUAGGGUAACGGCCUACCAAGGCAACGAUCAGUAGCUGGUCUGAGGGGACGAUCAGCCACACUGGGACUGAGACACGGCCCAGACUCCUACGGGAGGCAGCAGUGGGGAAUAUUGCACAAUGGGCGAAAGCCUGAUGCAGCAAUGCCGCGUGUGUGAAGAAGGCCUGCGGGUUGUAAAGCACUUUCAGUAGGGAGGAUUAUGACGUUACCUACAGAAGAAGCACCGGCUAACUCUGUGCCAGCAGCCGCGGUAAUACAGAGGGUGCGAGCGUUAAUCGGAAUUACUGGGCGUAAAGCGCGCGUAGGCGGCCUGGUCAGUCGGAUGUGAAAGCCCCGGGCUUAACCUGGGAAUUGCAUUCGAUACUGCCAGGCUGGAGUGUAGUAGAGGGAAGCGGAAUUCC